UAAAAACCCGCUAUACAUUCCCACGGAGAAAACAGUUUACACAUCAAAUUUUACUCUUCGCAAUAUAAAUAUAGAUAGCAGUUGUUGUUUAUUCACUCUCGUCAAAGUUUUAUUGAUGCAUACUGUGGAAAUGUUAAAAAAGGAUAGCAACUCGUAUAUUGCUCAAAUUUGGAUGCAGGGAAAUAUGGACAAAAAAAAAUGAAUAAAUGAAUAAUGCACACGAAAACAACUAACACCGCAGAUGGAUGGCUGAAAUUUUAGUAAUGCACUCGAAGUGUGACAAUAUAUUUCUGAUUGAAAGAAACUGGAAUAAUAUAUUAAUAGAGAUUGGUUAGUCAGUAUCGAAAAUAUGACAAAUAUUAAAAAAAAGUUUCACAAAAC